rnacentral:rRNA from 1 species
UACGUAGGGGGCAAGCGUUGUCCGGAAUUAUUGGGCGUAAAGAGCUCGUAGGUGGUUUGUCGCGUUGUCCGUGAAAACUCACAACUCAAUUGUGGGCGUGCGGGCGAUACGGGCAGACUGGAGUACUGCAGGGGAGACUGGAAUUCCUGGUGUAGCGGUGGAAUGCGCAGAUAUCAGGAGGAACACCGGUGGCGAAGGCGGGUCUCUGGGCAGUAACUGACGCUGAGGAGCGAAAGCGUGGGGAGCGAACAGG